UAUCUGUUUUGUUUUAUAUUUUUUGGUAUUGCAUACCAUACUAAGAUUUUCACAUUUUUAUGUUUAAUAGAACUGAGAGGUAGAAGAUUAGUUUGUUUUUAUUGUUACAAAAUAAAAAUUACUAAUUUUGGUGUUGAUAUGUCGUCUCUUAAUUUAUCUGUUUUUGGAUCUUUUUAUUAGAAAAUUGUAAUUUUUUUUUUUGUUUUGAGAUAAUAAAUUUUGUAGUGUUUAAAUUUUUUGUUUUAUAACAUAUCUUGUUUUAAUUUAUUUUUUUUUUUUGUUUUUUAUAUUAAAAUAUUAAUAUAUUUAUAAUUUAGUAUUGAGUAUAUUUUUUAAAUUAAGUUUUUUUAAGAAAUUUACUGUGUGAACUUGGGUUUUAAUCAAAUGUUUUUUAAAAACUUAUGUUUCUUUAUGAAAUUGGCCUCUGCUCUAUGUUUUUAUAAAUGGCAGUCUUAGCGUGAGGACAUUAAGGUAGCAAAAUAAUUUGUGCUUUUAAUGGGUUCGAGUAUGAAUGGGGUUAUUGGUUAACUUUUUACUUUGUUUUUAAUGAAAUAAAUUUUUAUUUAAGAAGUUAAUAUGUGCAAUUAAACAAAGAUAAGUCUUCGGAAAUUUUUUUAUUGUCUUUUCUUGUGUUAAGAUAAUAUGUUUUCUAGGGUAGGAUAUUGUGUAAUUUUUUUUACUAUUGAUAUUUAAAAAAAUUACUUCGGAGUUAACAGAAAAUCAUGUCGUAACCAGAUCUUAUGGUAGUGAUAAGUUUUACAUCGAUGUUGUAUUCCAGUUGUGCAGGAAAGGAGAAGGCUUGUUUUUUAAGACUGUUCUUCUGUUAAUUAAACUGGACGUGAUAUUAGUUUAAUUCAUCGUGAGAUAGAAUUGUUUAUCUUGUUAAUUGCUUUUUUUUGAUAGCAGAUAGUACGAAAGGAAAUUUGUUGAAGUUUUAAACUUUUUGAAGGUGGUAAAGACCUUUU
rnacentral:rRNA from 1 species